GAAAUUACGCAUAGCAGCCGCUGUUGACUCUUAAGCGAUUGCUUUAAUACUGAUGACUGAACAAUGUUUGCAUUGUAUGCUGGAGGCGUGUUUAAAAAAUUGUUGAAAAAUUUGGUGUGUAAUGGCGAGAGACGACUUCGUGCGUUGUCAGUGGGCGAUGCUGUCUAGUGGCCACUUUGAAUAAAAAUAUUUUUACUGUAUACAUGGCUUUGGCCAUUCAUCUUGUGUGAUAUAUAGCCCCAGGAGAUUAAAAGUUGUGCUGCAGUUCGGUUUUUCCCCAAAAACUGUUAUUGCAAGUUUUAGAAGUUUCCUAUAAUCAUCUUUUGGUUGGUUAUCCUUACGAGUCUUAUUAAGGAAACUUGUAAUUCGCAACAAAUCUAUGUUCAACGAUUUACUUACAUUUUCUAAGCCGACCGUGAAAUUACUAUCGUUUAUUUUUGGCCAAAACUUUUGAAAUCGUUGAAAUAGUUCAACAUUUGGGCUUUCAGACUUGCAAGUCUUAGCACAGAAAACAAGCUGAAUAAAAACCAACGACUGUGGGAUCUUCUACAGGUUCAGCUCCGUCCCAGUCCACCUGCAUAAGAGACAGGAGAACAAGGACGGUAGUAAAUCAGCUGAGGAAACCACUCCAGCUGAAGAAACGAUGCCUGCAACUGUUCUGGAGCAAGUGGAGGAGGAGGCGACGAGGAGCGAGAAGAAUGAGGAAAUCAGUGUGCUACCUAGGACAUUGAAACCUUGGAUCUCUCCCUACUAAACUUGGUGCCCGAUGACAACUCCGACAGAAUAUCUCUGUCAGACAUCGACGAUGGUCUGGCAGAAGAAGCAAAGGAAGAAUAAUUACUUGAUGACCAGCACUAAAGUCACCCAAAUAAAUCCACACCACGCAAAACUGCAUCGGCAGUUAUUCCAAGGGCUACGUUUAAAUCGAACUUGAGCAUAGUGCUGAUCCGAGAACCUUGGAUCCACAUAGGUGGAAUCUGUAGUUUGACUGCAAGGAAUAAGCAGACAAUUUGGGAUAAUAGUUCUCCAAGGACCUCGUUGCCAUACAAAUUCCGGCCAACAUCAACGGAGUUCUACAGAACGUGGUCGUAGCUACAGGCUAUCUACCAGAAGACGACACUCAGGUACCAUCUGCAGAGGUUGUUAAACUGGUGGACUACUGUGAGAGAACGAAGAUGGCACUUAUACUUGAUUGCGAGUCCAACGCUCACAACGAAGUAUGGGGAAGCACAAACACCGAUACAAGAGAGAGCUCCCUCACUAUUGAGGGAGCUGGGACUGGUGUUUAUGGACUAGGCAAGAGAUACUGGGAAGCACUGAGAAAUAAUGCAACUAUCUUUCAAGCGGAAAUAUACGCGAUAGAUAGAUGCACCCGUUUCAACCUUGAACGUAACUACCGGAAUCGUAAAAUCGCAAUACUGACUGACCAGGUAUCAUCUAAAUUGGUAUGGGGGUGCAUUGACAAGCUGAACAUGGCGUUUGGAGGGCGAACUAAUUCACCGUUCACCGAGGGCGAUGGAAGAGGAAUACGCCCUGAUGGAGUUUUGGCGAACUAAUGCUUCGAAACUGCAAGAACAAAAGAAAAAUUCUCAUUUGUAUGCCGAAAUAGCAGAUUUAAUGUGCGAGCAGAAUUUCUAUUUUAGUGUCGAGGAGAUGAGGCACAAAAUCAAAAAUCUUUCCAUCAAAUAUACAUAAAAAAAAGAAAACAGGAGCAUCAGGUGGAGCGCUAUCAAACUGAGGCAUUUCAAUUACAUCAACGAAAAACCUGGCGGACUAAAGCGAUUCACUAUUGAAAAACACGUUCAGGAGAGUACAGUUCAUUCAUCAAUGUUAAAUUUGGACGGAAAGAUUCGUUUAUCAUCUCCAACCGAUAGUGGAUCGAUUUCCAUCCUCGUUUCAUCAUCAUCUAAAGAACCGUCUGAAGAUUCGUGUGAAGGAACUCCUAGGAAAAAGAAAAAUAAAAAAAAUGUACUUUACUUAACGGAGCAGCUGCAUCAAUACAAUAAACUCGAAAAGGAAAUGCUCGAACAAA